AAGUCGUAACAAGGUCUCCGUUGGUGAACCAGCGGAGGGAUCAUUACAGAGUACUUCUACUCAAAAACCACUGUGAACUUACCUUCCGUUGCUUCGGCCGGGCUGCUCCCCGGACCCCUCCGGGUCCGGGGCGGCGUUCAAGGCCCGCCGGGGGACCCGAAACUCUUGUAUCUUUGUGGAAAUUCUGAGAAACUAUUAAAUAAAUCAAAACCUUUGACAACGGAUCUCUUGGUUCUG
rnacentral:misc_RNA from 1 species